rnacentral:lncRNA from 1 species
AUGUCUUUGGUAACCGAAGAAAUCAAAUCGAAAUCAGAAGUAUACCAUGGAGACGAAAUGUGUCGCCUGAAAUCCAAAGAGCUUCUUAGAGAAAUUGCUCUCCCUAAUGGUCUGUUACCAUUGAAAGACAUCAUUGAAGUUGGUUACAACGAAGAAACCGGUUUCGUUUGGUUGAAACAGAAGAAAAGCAUAACACAUAAGUUUGAAAAGAUUGGAAAACUUGUUUCUUAUGCUACUGAAGUCACUGCUCAUGUUGAAAAAGGUAAGAUUAAGAAACUGAGUGGUGUAAAAACAAAAGAGCUUUUCAUUUGGAUUACACUAAGUGAUAUUUAUGUUGAUGAUCCACCUACUGGUAAAAUCACUUUUCAAACUCCUGCUGGACUCUUUAAGACUUUUCCAGUUUCUGCUUUU